rnacentral:rRNA from 1 species
UACGUAGGUGGCAAGCGUUGUCCGGAUUUAUUGGGCUUAAAGGGUGCGUAGGCGGUCUUUUAAGUCAGUGCUGAAAUGUCCCGGCUUAACCGGGAGGGUGGCAUUGAUACUGAAGGACUUGAGUAAAGUUGAGGUAGGCGGAAUUGACGGUGUAGCGGUGAAAUGCUUAGAUAUCGUCAAGAACACCGAUAGUGUAGACAGCUUACUAAGCUUUAACUGACGCUGAGGCACGAAAGUGUGGGGAUCAAACAGG